rnacentral:snRNA from 1 species
GUAGAUCCCUUCCCACAAGCCCACAUACCACUGCUAAUAUUGGAACAAAACAGAAAGGAUUAACAUGGCACUGCACAAGGAGGACAAAUUUCAUGAAGUAGUCUAUAUUAAGUGU